GCCAGUGUGGUAUAGUGGUUUGAAUGCUGGACUAUGACUCUGGGAAACCAGGGUUCAAAUCCUCACUCAGCCA